rnacentral:misc_RNA from 1 species
CAACGAUUUAAGGGUUUGAACCAGAAUUGGACCAGCUAUAAGAGGCCAAUUUUAGUCCCCUCUCCCCUAGCCCUAAAUUAUAACAGGACUAUAACAGGACCAAAUUAUUUUUGACUUGAAUCAAAAUUAAACCGGACCGAAAUUGGACCUAACUAACUGGAAACCAUGACCAAGUCCAGCUCCAGUUCAUUCCCCGGCCACGCCCUGAACAGCCAGUUCAGGUCCGGACCAGACUGAUGGCCAAGCCCAUUAAGUUCUUAUUCACCCAGCAUUAAAAACUCAAUUCUCUAUGUAACAAUAAAUGUGUCAUCAAAUUGCCACAGCAACUUCAACUCCCACAAUUCCCAGAACACAAAUCGAAAUUUUGAGGAAGGACUGCUAAUUGGAAUAAACAUUAAGAUCCUAGUCAAUUUUUCAUAAUAAUCUACAAUGGGGAUGGCCAUAGCCAG